AUGGGAGGUGCGACAUUCUCUUGGUUUCCUGCCCAAUACGCAUUCCCCUCUUCUGCCUUGGUCACAGAACCCAGUGUUAUUUCAGUAGCACUAAGCCCAGCUGAGAGGCUGUCUUUCCCAGUCCACCAUACAGCUGAAGGUAACAAUGACAGUCAAGCAAACAUUGCUGGAUGGGACUUCUGGCCAAGUUUCUUCAGAGGAGGACAGAGGCUCUUCUGUGGACCCACAACUUCACAGAAAUUUCAUGAGAGCCGACUUCUCUCAUCUGCCUUAGACAGAUCCUGUAAGGUGGGUGAGCCCUGGGGAGGGGCUGGGUCUGGAUGUGUGGAGAGUUUUCAGGGGUUGAGGUCGGGGAGGGACAUCUUCUGGGGGUGGACCGGUUUCUCUGCCCCACGGUGAAUAACCCUGUCUGAGUUCUAGCCUGCUCCCGCCCCCAGGUUCCUACCCUUGGAGUAGGGGUUUUCAGUACUACUGCUUUUGUUGGGUAUCUGGACACUGAGAAAGACUGGGUGGCUGCCACUGGGAAGUGUGAGUCUAAUGGCUAUACAUUUGUCAGAUUCUCCAACUUCGGGGGUAAAUGCCUCAUGAAUUUUAGUUUUGUAGGUUUGUGUGUGAUGAUGGAUAAGAGACUUGGUGAAAGAGCUUUUGACAUUCCUGCCAUCACCUCCAGAAAGUGCGAGUAGAGCACUAGAGCGUUUUUCAGAAGACUCGAAGAAAAUACCCUUUCAUUCAGGAUCAAGCUUGCUAUUUAAGUGCCUUCAACCAACUCAACAGGAAAACAAGAGACAGCCAAAAAAAAUCACACUUCACUUUCUAGAAUGUUGAUAGCUUUACCAUAAUCCACUCAUGUGUUCACUGAUCUAAAGACAAAGAACUCGCUCGUACCAGAGGUUGGGUUUACUUACCCUGUAUGUCUGGACAUGAAUGGCCUCCCCUCUCUAAGUGUCCAGCUGUUUGGCACUGAGGAGACAGGCUGUUCGGAUCACUGAUGCAAUUGUGGAACCCAGUGGCCUGAAGCCGGUCAGUGAAGAGGCUGCUCGGAUCCCCGGGCCUCACAGGCCACAGGAAGCCAGCGAGGGCGGGGCUCCGAGCCUGUUUAAGGCCAGGUCCCUGCGGAGCGCAGCCUCCUACAUACCAGGUAGCACCAGGUAGUUUUCCACCACAAAUUUGCUCCAGAAUCACCUAGAAGCUCUGGAAAUGCAAAUCCACUGAGUCAGAGCGCUGGAAUUGAGCCGCAGACUGCAAUUUUAACAAGCACUGCAGGUGACUUUGAGCUUAAGAACCACCAGUCUCACACGUGGACUUUAAAAACUCACGUGGAGAAUAUUUCUCAUUCCUCAGUUUAAAACAUUCUUUAAUAGUAUCUCCGCUUAGAGCGGAGAAGUUCCAGGAAACAGAA
rnacentral:lncRNA from 1 species